AUCUCUUCGGUUGUAAGUCCAAGAACCCAAAAUAUGGAUAAAAAUAAAGGAAAGGCUAAAGUGGCCUAGAAGAAGGCGACAAGGAGACAUUGAUGGUGUGUGUGUGGUGGCUGAUAUGGAAGCUUGGGACCUUACUAGAAGAAUUUAGAAAUCGUACCUGCUAGUGUUUUUGUUACUGCUAGAGUAGAAUUUAUCUUGCAUUACUAAUUUCGUUAUCUUUCUGUUAUUUAGUUGGAUUAACUGUUUAUGCUGGGAACAUGUUCUUUUCCUUAUUUCUGGAUUAGUUUUCAAGUUUUGUGAAGUGAGAUCUGCUUCAAUAAGAAUCUGCCGUAUGGUUCAUCUUGACUUUUUCUGCUGUAGAGAUAGAUUCAUUUGCUGUAUUUGGUUUGUUUUAAUGAUUCUUUUGUUAUGGUUAA